AAAUAUUUAGAAGUGGGAAUGGAUGAGUCAUGCAGUAGAUGUUUGAUCUUUUUUAAGAAACGGGCAAACGAUGUUCCCAAGAGGCUGGGCCAUUUCGCAUUCCCACUGACAACGGACGAAAGUUUCAUUUCCUCCAUAUCCUUGUCAACAUUUGAUAUGGUUAGCUGUUCUAAUUACAGCCAUUCUAAUAGGUCUAUUGUGUUAUUUCACUGGCAUUUUAAUUUGCAUGAUUAAUAAAGCUGAGCAUCUUUUCAUGUGUUUACCUAUAUUUCUUCUUUGGUGAAAUAUCUGUGCAUAUCACAUGCCCGUUAUUUUAGCAGGUCACUUGUUUUCUUAACUUUUGAGACUAUUUUAUAUAUUCCAGAUUAUCAAAGGUAUUUGGAACUAUUCUCUCCCAAUCUGUGGUCCAUCUUUGCACUUUCUUAACAGCAUCUUUCGAAGAGAGGAAAUUUUUAAUUUUGAUAAAGUCUAAUUUACCAAUUUGUUCUUUUAUGGACUGUGGUUUUGUAUCAUAUCUAAGAAAUCUUCCUCCAACCCCACGUCACAAAGAUGUUUUCCCUGUGUGUCCUUCAACAGAAUUUGUCAUUUUAGGUUUUCCUUAUAUGUCAGUAAUCUAUUCUGUGUGCAUUUUCAUACAUACAAUAAGGAGUUCCCGUCGUGGCACAGUGGUUAACGAAUCUGACUAGGAACCAUGAGGUUGUGGGUUCGAUUCCUGGCCUUGCUCAGUGAGUUAAGGAUCCGGCAUUGCCAUGAGCUGCGGUGUAGGUUGCAAAUGCUGCUCAGAUCCCGAGUUGCUAUGGCUUUGGUGUAGGCCGGCGGCUACAGCUCGGAUUAGACCCCUAGCCUGGGAACCUCCAAAUGCUGAGGGAGCAGCUCAAGAAAAGGCAAAAAGACAAAAAAAAAAAAACAAAUCACCUGUCUAUACACAUGUGGAUCUGUUUCCGACUCCCCACUGUCCCAGUCGUCUGUCUAUUGUGACACUGGAAUCCCACGCAUAGUGACUGCGCUUUACAGGUCAUGACAUCAGGUAGUUUAGUCUUUCGACGUUGCUCUUCUCUUUCAGAGGUGUUCUGGCUAGCUACCUGGGAAUCGUUGCAUAUCUAUGUGCUCUUUAGAUUCCACCUUGCAAUUUCAAAAACUGCUGGCAUUCUGAGUGGGGCUGCAGUGAAUCGAGACGUCAGUUUGGGGGAAACGGACACCACAACAAAGCUGAUGUACAAACGUCAUCUCCCCAUUCACUUCAGUCUUCUUUCGUUUUUCUCAGCGGUAUUUUACGGCGCGUUCAGUACAUAGGUUUUGCCCAUCUUUCGUCAGAUUGGUCCCUAAGUAUUUCUGGGUUUGAUGCUAUUGUGAAUGGUGUCUUUUUAUUUCAAUUUCUGAUUGUUCAUGGUUAGUAUAGCAAAAUACUAUUCAUUUUUAUAUAUUGAUAGUAUAUCCUGAAAUCUUGCCCGAGGUUACCAGAAGUAAGAAUUGUUAACAUCUUGGAGUUCCCAUCGUGGCUCAGUGGAAAUGAAUCUGACUAGCAUCCAAGAGGAUGCGGGUUCAAUCCCUGGCCUCGCUCAGCAGGUUAAGGAUCUGGCAUUGCUGUGAGCUGUGGUGUAGGUUGCAGAUGUGGCUCGGAUCUGGCGUUGCUGUAUGGCUGUGAUGUAGGCUGGCAGCUACAGCUCCAACUGGACCCUAAGCCUGGGAACCUCCAUAUGCUGCGGGAGCGGCCCUAAAAAGACAAAAGGACCAAAAAAAAAAAAAAAAGAAUUGUUAAUAUCUCAAUGCUUUGGUGGACAAAAAAAAUGGAUCACAAUGACACAGAGGAAAAAUGCAUGCUGUGGAGAUACAUUUGCUAGGAGAAAAACAAUGAUAGCUCCUCAAGAGUCCUAUUUCUCUAUCUGGACUCUGGUUUGAGUGAGUCUUUGAGCUCAUGAGCCAAGUGGUUUGGAGAAAAUUCUAAGAUUUAAUGCAUAUGGUCCUUCUAAAAGAGUUUCACAAAUGGGCAAGAGUAUAAUCCCUCACCACAGAAACGGAAGGCCAAGGAGCCAGUAAUAGCAAUGCUUUGCCUUUCUUUUGGCCUGGAUUCCUUUGGACGGUUUCUGCGUCUUUUCCUCAUCCUUUUAUGACUAGGUUUGCUUCAUAGGCAUUUGGCCCUUACAGUUCAGAACUGGGACUUAAAGGUUUCCCCUCUGCAUCUGCUUGUAUUUUUUUUUUUUAGAGCCACACCCAUUCCCAGGCUAGGGGUUGAAUCAGAGCUGCAGCUGCUGGCCUACACCACAGCCACAGCCACACAGGAUCCGUGCCUCGUCUGCAACCUACACCACAGUUCACGGCAACACCAGAUCCUUAACCCACUGAGUGAGGCCAGGAAUCGACUUCACAUCCUCAUGGAUACUAAUGGUAAUGAACCUGACUAGUGUCCAUGAGGCUGCAGGUUUGAUUCCCUGGCCUCGCUCAGUGGGUUAAGAAUCUGGCGUUGCUGGGAGCUGGGGUGUAGGUCAAAGACAUGGCUCGGAUCCUGCGUUGCGGUGGCUGUGGUGUAGGCUGGAAGCUACAGCUCCAACUGGACCCCUAGCCUGGGAACUUCCAUAUGCUGCAGGUGCAGCCCUAGAAAAAGAGAAAACAAAACAAAACAAAGAAACCUCUGCAAACUUGCUUCCUAUCUCUCUGUGUUGCCAUGAUGUCAAUCCUUCAGGAGGCUUCUGUCACUGCCUCAAUCAGGCCUCUACCCGCCUGUGAAGCUCUAAGGCCUCUCACUCACACGCUCUCGCUCUGGUUAUAAAGCCUUACCUGUGGGCCGUAAAUUCCUUCCAUACCAUUAAAAAAAAAAAAAAAUACAAUCAUGACA
ensembl:lncRNA